rnacentral:rRNA from 1 species
AAUGACUCUYGGCAACGGAUAUCUCGGCUCUCGCAUCGAUGAAGAACGUAGCGAAAUGCGAUACUUGGUGUGAAUUGCAGAAUCCCGUGAACCAUCGAGUCUUUGAACGCAAGUUGCGCCUGAAGCCAUUAGGCCRAGGGCACGUCUGGCUGGGUGUCACACAAUG